rnacentral:lncRNA from 1 species
AAACUCAGUGAACUCAGUGAGUGGAUAGAAAUUUUGAAAAAUCAAUUCUUUUAAAAUGAUUUAAUCUUUCUCAAAUCAAUUUCAUCAGAAUAUCAUAAGAACUUACAUAAACUUAUUUAAUUCAAAUCAGUCACUAAAAAACUAUAUUACAUAAAUCUGCAUAAAAUCGAUGAAAACAUAAUACUUAUCAUAUCAAGUACUGAAUACCAAAAUAUCAUCAAACAAGUACCCAGGGAAAUAAUCUCGUCAUAUCCGGACCUCAACGGACGGGCAAUGACGUACUAUCUGGGUAACGUCACGCCCCGGAGCUACACGGAUAGACAGGGAAAUACUAUCUCAUAUCUCAUCAUAUCUGUGCAUGCAUAAUCUAGUCCCCAAAGGACAAAAGCGCCCAAGCACACGGCCCAAAGCCUCUGUGUGUACUCAGACGGGCCCCAAAGGCCUGUAUCUCAUCUGUAUCUCAACUGUCUAUAUCUCAUAUCUGUAUCACUGUAUCUUAAUAACGGAUCUGUAUCCCAAUCUGUAUCACUGUAUCUCAAUAACUGAUCUGUAUCCCAUAUAUGUAUCACUAUAUCUCAAUAACUGUCUGUAUCCCAUAUCUGUAUCACUGUAUCUCAAUAACUGUCUGUAGCCCAUAUCUGUAUCACUGUAUCUCAAUAUAUGUAUCACUGUAAUAAUCAUACCGCAUGCAUAUGCCCCAAAGGCAAAAGCGCCCAAACACACGGCCCAAAGCCUCUAUGUGUGUUCAAACGGGCUCCAAAGGCCUCUCAUCUCAUAUCAUUUAUAUCAUUGUAUCUGGAGGGGAAGGGUACUGUCUAAUGAUUUCAAAAACAAUCACUGUACUCAUAUUCACAUACCUCUUUACCAUAUUUUAAAUCAUACCACAUUUGAAUCCACUUUUCUUAGCUUUCAAAUAAUAUCACUCUUUAUUCAAAAUCGAUACGCAAAAUCAUUAACCAAAUAGUUUAAUAUAAUAUCAACACGUGAAUAAAAUCCAUUUCAAGGAAAUCACAUUAAAUCCAUUUCAAGAAAUCAUUAAAUCGGAACAUUUAAAAUACUUAUUCCGCAAACAUGCUUUACUAUCAUAAUUAACUCUAAAAAUAGGUUUCGUAUAUUCCACUCACAGUGACAAUGUCCAGACUCGGUGUCGACAACGUCCGCGGGUUGAUUCUCG